rnacentral:rRNA from 1 species
UGAGUAACCUGCCCUUCACUCUGGGAUAACUCCGGGAAACCGGGGCUAAUACUGGAUAUGACUCGAACAGGCAUCUGUUUCGGGUGGAAAGAUUUUAUUGGUGGAGGAUGGACUCGCGGCCUAUCAGCUUGUUGGUGAGGUAAUGGCUCACCAAGGCGACGACGGGUAGCCGGCCUGAGAGGGGUGACCGGCCACACUGGGACUGAGACACGGCCCAGACCUCCGUACGGGAGCA